rnacentral:rRNA from 1 species
ACACUCCUGCGGGAGGCAGCAGUGGGGAAUUUUGGACAAUGGGCGAAAGCCUGAUCCAGCAAUGCCGCGUGAGUGAAGAAGGCCUUCGGGUUGUAAAGCUCUUUUGUCAGGGAAGAAACGGUGAGAGCUAAUAUCUUUUGCUAAUGACGGUACCUGAAGAAUAAGCACCGGCUAACUACGUGCCAGCAGCCGCGGUAAUACGUAGGGUGCAAGCGUUAAUCGGAAUUACUGGGCGUAAAGCGUGCGCAGGCGGUUUUGUAAGUCUGAUGUGAAAUCCCCGGGCUCAACCUGGGAAUUGCAUUGGAGACUGCAAGGCUAGAAUCUGGCAGAGGGGGGUAGAAUUCCACGUGUAGCAGUGAAAUGCGUAGAUAUGUGGAGGAACACCGAUGGCGAAGGCAGCCCCCUGGGUCAAGAUUGACGCUCAUGCACGAAAGCGUGGGGAGCAAACAGGAUUAGAAACCCGGGUAGUCCCAUGA